GUAUUUAAACGUUAUAACCCGACUUCACAAACAUUAGGGUUUCUUUCAUUCUCUUUCUGCCACUUCUUCUAUGGCGAUCAACUUUCAGACUUUUCAUCAAGGGUUUCCAUUCAAGCAAUUCAUUCGUCUGUACCUCAAAGAUUAAAAAAGGAAUGAAAUCAAGGGAGAUGAAGACGUGUGUCAGAGUUUUCAUCCUUCAAUCCGGCGAUUAGGGUUUUCAUCCUUCUUUUACAAUCAAACAAUCCAAGAUAUGAAGUUUCAGAUACUCUUAGUGUCUAAACUAAGAAAGAUAAUGAAAUAAAGAAUAAUCUGGAAGAUGUUGGAAUUUGGGACGAUAGCGUUCAGAUCUAACGUAAUAUUAUUCGUAUUUGAAGACUUUAGCGAUUAACAUGUCAAAGAUGGCAUAUACCUUGCUUUCAUCGAUCCUAAUUGGAUUCCGUGAUUUUAUUGGAUUGCAUAUGCUCUGCAGUGUUCACCAUCGCUAGAACUAUCUACAAUUUGCUUUUAAUCUUUACAAGUGAGUGUUAAUUUCGAAAUUGUCUUAUGUGCUUUAAUGGUUUAUGGCACCGAUAGUACAUUCCAGGCCGGGAUUUCUUGCUAUUUAUGUUCCCUUUCUUCACCUUCAUUGCUUUGCCUCUCGGAGAAUGUUCUCUGCUGCUGAAGGCGUCUUUAUCUAUACUUUUAACGUAUUAUCAGCCUUAUCAGGUGUUUGAUAAAUAACAUUGCCUCUCUCGCCAUGGUUCUAGACAAGUAAUAUCCCCUCCCUCCCCUUCUCACACACGCAGGUGUGCACCAGUUUAAUCUUUAAUUAUGUUUAUUUUCACUAAUUAUUACCUUUGAAACAUGAAUAUAAGGCUGAAGAUGACCAUAUCAAUAUUUGUAAAGCUUAUGUGUUGAUUUUUUUAAAUAAAAUUAAGAAAAAGAUGUGUUAGUGGUAUAAUGUUAUGAUUAUAUUAUAAGGAUUAAUCUUGGCGGGCUCAACAAACGGGCCACUUGAUACAGUUAUGGAGCUGGGCCGGGUAAAACGAGUCAGCAACAGUUUGUUUAUUAAGUUACAUUUUAUUAGAAAAGCAUUGGAUCUUGAGUAAUGGGUCACUAAUUUGCUUUUUAUAGGGGAUAAUUUGUCAAAUAACUACUGGGAAAAAAAACAAUUGUAUGAUACAUGGGUGUGUCAUAUUGCUUACAAAGUUGCAAUUCCUUUUUUUUUCAUUAGUAUCCUUUCAAUUUCUUUUAUAUUACUGGGUUUAUGUGUUUGAUUUGUUGUUGGUAAAUGUCAUGCUUUAAUCCCAAAUGAUGAUUUAUGUCCUAUCAAUAUGGAUUGUUACACUUCAUUGUUAUUUUGCAAUUUGUUUCUCCACCCUUUACAUACUGCUGAUUGAUUUCAAUUGUGUUUACUUCCAAGGCGUUUGUGUUUACUUCCCAGGCGUUUACUUUGAUUGUCGGUAACCGGAGGUCUGGUAUCUUUUACAUCGUUACUUGGUUGGCAUUUAUAUUAAGUAAAUAUACAUCAGAUUACUUUUUAGUUUUCCAAAAGGGGUAGCCCAAUUGUCACAAAAUCAUUAGCGUUGCAGACCGUCAUGCUGCUAUGAGAAAUUGGUAUCGUCAAAGUUUAAGGUUUCAAUGGCUAUUGCUUUGAUUUCAAAGUGAGCAACAAUUGCUUCGUUUGAGGAUCAGAAAAGGCACAUCCUUGAGUUCAUGGGAUGCAAGUGAUAAAUCAUUGCUCAUGUUUGCCAUGAGUUGCAUUGCUGCAAUAACACUACUUUAUUAUUGACAUAGUGUUCAGUAGAUUAAUUUAUAAGUGUAUUUUGUUACAUUUAGCUUUAACUUCAUUGUAGUCACAACUCUACCAUGGCAUUGCAUCCAAUUUUUAAGUUGAAUAUUUAAUGUAAUGUAAUGGACACAAGGAGUUGCAUGAGAUUGAAUGUUUAAGAUUUAAUGGAGUAUUUUAUUCUUUUUCAGAAA